AACUCUAUCUAUCUGCCACGUGGAUUAAGUCACAAAUUUUAUACUUUCAUUUUUUAAAACAAUUUUUACUUUUCUCAUUAAAAAAAGAAAAUACACGACAGAAAAAUAAUAAUCUUCUUUUACAACUGCUUCGCCUCCUCCACGAUCUUGAUAUCUCCACUUCGCUUCUCUUCUCUUCUUCAACAAUGAAACAACAUGAAUUCACACAAAAAGCUUCCAAAUCUCUUCUUUUUCUGAUUCCGGUUUCCUCCAACUUUUAUCGGGUGUAAAAUUGAAGUUCUUGCAUCUUCUGAUUUUAGGGUUUCAUAAAUCGCAUGUCUCUUCUUUUUGCAAUUUACAAAUUCUGAUUUCUAAUUUCCCAAUUCUGGUUUUUUUAUUCAUCAUUGUUUAAUCAUUCAUUCACAUGUCACAACAAAUUCUCAGUUUUUAUUUUAACAACUGGAAUAAGUUUGAUAAAGAACUUGAAUUAUAUCAAACGAAUGGAUUCAUAACUUCAAAUUUUAUUUAGUCUGUUAUCAAAUUGUUCUUUAUGAGGUUCAUCAUAAUUCUCCACAAUGAUUUAGUUUGUUAUUGAAGUGUUCUCUAUUAAAAAAUCUUUCAACUUACAAGGUUAGCGAUUACAACACCGGACGACAAUGGUGCUUGUCGCUUCCUCUGUCUUCCAAUCUUCAUUUCAUCUACAAGUUUUUCCUGUUUUUCAGUUUGAUAUUGAAGUUACAAAGGAUUUUGGAUGGUUCCUAUCAUUUACGUAGUUGUAUUGGAAUGUGGAUUGGUCUUUUCUUGUGACAUUUAAGCUUUGGAUUAGAGUGUGAAUGAUUCAUCUCUCUUAGUUUUCUUUGAGGUUGAACCUUGCUUCCAAGGUUGAUUUUGAGAUUGAAUGAUAUAUCGUGUUUGCAGGGUAUUGAUCUGAUAGCUUGAGGCAAGAACAAGAAGACCAAGAGGACAGCUCCAAAGUCAGAUGAUGUCUACCCUAAGCUUAAUGUCAAGUUUUACCGUUUUCUGGUAAGGAGAACUCAGAGCAAGUUCAAUGUUGUGAUAUUGAAGAGGCAUUUUAUGAGAAAAUCAACAAAGCUCCUCUUUCUCUAUAUAGGCUUGUGGAAUUCAUGGCUGGCAUGGCUCCAUUUCGUUGAUCCUUCUCUCUCUCUUUUGUAUCUUUAUGUUGAAAUCAGUCUUAGAUCUUGAUUAAUCUGUUUUAUUUCUUUAGAACCAGUUCCCAAUUUGUGAAACUAAAGUGUUCACUGAUAAUCUGAACUUAGUCUGCAACAUAGAUGUGUUCAAUGUUCGGUUUGAAUUUUGUUAUCUAGAACAUAUUUAAA